rnacentral:rRNA from 1 species
UGCGCAGGUGGGCUUGUAAGUCAGUGGUGAAAUCUUGCCGCUUAACGGUAAAAUUGCCAUUGAUACUGCAAGUCUUGAGUAUGGUUGAGGUAGGUGGAAUGUGUUGUGUAGCGGUGAAAUGCAUAGAUAUGACACAGAACGCCGAUUGCGAAGGCAACUUACUAAGCCAUUACUGACGCUGAGGCACGAAAGCGUCGGGAGCGAACAGGAUUAGAUACCCUGGUAGUCC